AUUAUGGAGAGUUUGAUCCUGGCUCAGGACGAACGCUGGCGGCAUGCCUAAUACAUGCAAGUCGAGCGAAUGUUUUAAGAAGCUUGCUUCUUAAAAUGUUAGCGGCGGAUGGGUGAGUAACACGUGGGCAACCUGCCCUGCAGAUGGGGAUAACUCCGGGAAACCGGGGCUAAUACCGAAUAAUCA
rnacentral:rRNA from 1 species